UGUACAGACUGCUGUUUACUGGCUGGCUAAGUGGCUCUAGCUUCUAUAAAUUUCAUGAAGAUACAUCCUUCCCUGACUGAAAAUUAGCAGAGCUGGAAUGCAAGCAGGGACCUCUGUCUCUUUGCUGAAUGCUAUGUCCUCAGUGCCUAGAUCAUCACUUCAAAUACACCUCUAGCAUUGAGAAUGGAAACAUGGAUUUAUAGUUUCUGUCUGCUUAUUCACUUGCCAAAACUGUAUGACGGAAAGAAGAACUCAAAUUUUCUUAGACUACUGUGCUUCAUCUGAUCCUUGUCUAUGGAGUGUAUGCUGGGAGAAGAUAUGAUGACUGGAAGGGAGAAUCCAGAUGGCCUGGGGAAGGAUGCGAAUGUAGUCCUCUACUUUCACAAAUUAUGCAGUUGAGUUUCCUGCAUUUUGGGACAUUUCAGGGGUCAGCACGUCCAGGAGUGCAAUAGAUGAGCCAUAGCCUGAGAAAACCACCUUCAUGGUCAUGAUUAUUUCCCCUUCCAGGUCGAUACUUGAAUUUAUGUGAUGUAUCUUCAAAGAAAUUGGGAUGUUUGGAAAAGUUGAUACACCUAGAGUCACCUGAGAAGAUGAAGCCUCAACCAGGGAACUUCCCAGAGAUUGUCUUUGUUAGUGGCUGAUGUCAGAGGCCUCAGCCCACGAUGGACAGCACCAUCUUUUGGCAGGAAGGAUAUCUAUCCACGAUGUAUUUGUCAGCUUUUGCUGAAAUACUACACCAGAAUGAACAACCAAAAUCUUGAUGACUUCAAACAAUCACUACUUAUGUUGUUAUGGACGUGGCAGCUGGACAUUCUUCGUCAUUCUUUCAGCCAGUGCUGUCUUGGAUUGUUUAAAAAAGCAAGCUGAGCAAGUUGUGGAAAGCAAACAAGUGAGCAGCCCUCCUCCAUGGUUUUGCCUUGAUACCUGCUUCCUGAUUGCUGUCUGAAUUCUUAACCUGACUUCUGAUCAUGGUGGACUGUACACCAUAAGCUGUAAUAAACCCUUUCCUCUCCAAGAUGCUUUGGUCAGUGUUUUAUCACAGCAACAGAAGUGCAAGCUAAGACAACAAGUCACAUGUAUAGGGCUCACAGAGGCCAGAAGAGGAUGUUAGAUGCCCAACCUUGAACUGGAGCUGGAAUUAUAUACCUCUUUGUGAGCCACCUGAUGUGGAAUAUGGGAACUGAUCUUGGUUCUUUGGAAGAGUAGAAAGUGCUCUUGACUGUGGAGUGAUCACUUCAGCCUCAUCUUUCCUGGUUUUGAACUUUGAAUUACCAAGAAAAGAAAAUCAAUUAUUGCUUGCAAAGUAACAACCUUCUUUUCAAACAAAACAAAACAAAACAAACAAACAAACAAAAAAACCACCAAGUGGGUUUUUUUUGUUUUUUGUUUUUUACUUUUUAUUUUUUUGAAUAGAAGGUUGUUACUUUGCAAGCCAGAAUUAAGCUUUCUCUGCUUCUGAACACGGGACUUGAGACCUGAAACUUCAUCCAAAAUGACCCAGGCUGACCUCCUUAGCUUCCAGAGAGGAUUCAUUGAUCACAUCAAAAAAAGGUAAUUUUGUUAUAGAUAAAUGUCACUAAUGAUCUCUUUCCAGCAAUUGAAACUUUCAAGUCACUUUACAUCCUUAACAGUUCUUCAGAAUUAGUUCAGAUAUCUAAGUCACCUCACACUGAUGAGUGUUCUGAGCCAAAUUAUCAUUACACACUCUCUCCUUCCUUGGCUGAGGUUCUGCUGCAUGCUAGUGAUUGUCAAUGAAAGAAAAAGGUAUAUAUUUGUCAAAGUAUUUUACAAUCAGUUUAAAUCACAAGUCUUGUAAAUUUAUACAGCAACUACAAAUUAAAUAUUUGGGUGUGGUUGCUCAUGCUUUGAAAUAACAGCACUAAGAGACAGAGACAAGAGGAUUGACAUAAGUUUGAAGUUAACUUUGUCUAAAUACUGAGUACAAGGCUUGCUAAGUCCAGAGAGUUUGACCCAAUCUCAAAGGAAGUACUUACCCCAAAGUUUAUAUAAGGAUCAAUGAAGAAAAGAUUAUAUUUAACAAGGAAACAAGGGAAAGUUUUUAAGUGUGAGAAUGAGUAUGUGUGCAUGUGUGUAUGAGUGUGUGUGUGUGUGUGUGUGUGUUUGUGUGUGUGUUUGUGUUUGAAGAAAUGAGGAAAACUGUGGGGUAAUCAAACUGGUUUGAUAGUCCUUGAAGAAAAGGAAACUAAAUUCAUAAUUAAUUACUUUUUAAAAACUGUAUAUUUGGGGAUUGUGUUUUACUCCUAGAUAAUCCUGUAUGAAUGAUUGUCAUAUUCUGAAGUUUGGGCCUAAUCUACAGAGAUAAUAAAUGAAGUAACAAUUCAUCCCAAGGGUUAAUCAGACAAUGUUCCAGUUGCAAUUCUGAGAAGCCAUGUGGUCAUCCUGUUGUGAUGGUUCCUGAGUUUUUACAAUUUUCCCAGCACUUCCUUUGCAUAAUAUUUUAUUUCUUCUUUCCCCUUUCCCUCCUUCUCUCCUCUUCCUCCUCCUCUUGUUCCUGUUCCUCCCCCUAUUUGUUUUCCUAUUAUUUAAACAAGGUCUCAUGUGGUUUUAAACUCUCUAUGUCACCAAUGAUGUCCUUGAACUUCCUAUUGUCCCACCUCUAUCUCCUGAUUACUGAUAUUAGAGGCUUGUGCCAUCACACUCAGCUUUAUACAGUGGAUCAAACCUGGGGAUUCUAUUGCUGUGUUGGUUUUCUGUUGCCAAGGACUGAUGAAAGAGGACAGGUUGAUUGUAAUGUUAAAUGCUGGCAUCACACUCCUCAAGCUGUGAUAAGCAUUAGUAAGAACAGUUUCCAGUUAUGAGCACCCCACUCUGUGGGGCUUCUCUUGAUGUGUGUACCACUCUUUCUGUUUCCUCUUGGCCCUAAGUUUAUGUGCUACAGAGUCUGCACCUUGAUCUCUCUGCUAGCGUUUGAGUGCCUUCCAUGUCGUUCUCUCUGGCAUUCCUCUUCAGAACUUUGAGUAGUCCAAGUUACCCUUCCAUUCUGUAAGAUCCAUAUCUGGUGAAGAGUGAUUAUCCAUGAUUUGCUCUGCCCAUUCAAACUUCAGAAUGCAGUGUGGUGCCAGUUCAGAAGUAGUCGGUGUUGUUCCUACCACCAAAGCAGCUUCCUGUGCACAACAACCCCUGGGGAUGGCAGAAACUGGUCCUUUCGUGGCUUCAGUAUAGCCUGUAGUGUGUGUAUAUCACUACCCACUCCUCUCUUCAGGUACACAUAGCUAUUAUGGCAAUCUUUUCACCAUAGACAUCCUUCUUAUGACUCAUUGUCCUAAGCUGCAAUACAUUUAAAUAUUCUGAAUGGGACUAUAACUAAAAUAUACUUUUCAACUACUUUACUUGUCAACUUCUUCUGAAUAUGUAUUUGUUAAUACCACCUCUUACAUUGCCUUGACUUCCAGUCUUCCUAAGAUCUCAGAUGAAUCUUCCCAUUUUAUGGUCUGAAAUGGUACUUUCAGGUAAUGAGAAAGAAGUACGUGGACACUGACUGACAGAUAUCUUGGCUACUCGAGUUGUCCCACAAAUAUACCUGCUUAUUUUGGAAAGCUGUUUGAAGACUCAAAAACUCUGUGGAGUCUUAAUGUGAGCUCCAGCAACUAGCCUAAUGCAUGAUGUAUAAUCGAUACGCGAUCCCUGCACAAUUGCCUGAGACAAAGAAGCAAGCAUGCAAAGAGAGUGUCCCUAAGGCUGGAGCUCCCUGUUUAUCCCUUUCAGAGGAAUUGAGCCCCUUGUAAGAUUUGAGCUGAAUUUCAGUCACAUGUUCCAAACAGUAAUAUCUUACAAAGAGGCCAUCACUUCUUAAAAACAGACCACGAGCUGUCCCUUGUGAGCCUCACGACAGGUGUGGAGCCAUCUGUGCAAGUGGCAAAGGAAGCUGGUGAAACAUUAAAGCAUGUUUACUGAAGAGAAUAUUUAUUCUGCAUUAACAAUCCACCAUUUCAACUGUCUCCAAUCUUCUGUAGUGUAACUGCUGUUAUUUAUAUUUAUUACUAUUUUGAGAUCUGUUGGUUAAUAUAAGAUUUUGUACAUGUGA